rnacentral:rRNA from 1 species
CGGGGUGAGUAAUGUAUGGGGAUCUGCCUGAUGGCGGGGGAUAACUACUGGAAACGGUAGCUAAUACCGCAUAACGUCGCAAGACCAAAGAGGGGACCUUAGGGCCUCUUGCCAUCGGAUGUGCCCAGAUGGGAUUAGCUAGUAGGUGGGGUAACGGCUCACCUAGGCGACGAUCCCUAGCUGGUCUGAGAGGAUGACCAGCCACACUGGAACUGAGACACGGUCCAG